UACCCUUAUUGUCCCCUUUCUAGUGCCUACCUACCACAAACUAAAUGCUUAAUACUUGGCUUGAGUUGAUGAUGUCCUAGAAGAUGUGAAUUUCUAGUGGGUAUUAACUAUAUCUGCUGCUGAGAUGAAGGGAAAGGCAAGUUCCCUGCAACAAAGUACAGGGCCAGAUGAAGGGAGAGUGAAGAUCAUUUUUCAUAAUGUCACCCUAUAAAUAUUUUGAAGAGAUUCUAUUGCUAUAAACCAUAAACACAUCCCUGUUGGGAAAGACAGGAGCAGUGUUUUCUGAUUAUAAGGAGUGUUUGUUGGAGCUACAGGCGUGUGGAAGCAAUUUCAGGAACAUCGUUGCGAGGAGUCUCUGGCAGAGAGAAUUCAAACAACUGCCAUAGGAAAUGGGGUACAGCCUUCACAGGACAUAUAUGCUAAAAUACAGAGUGGAAUGUUGUCCUGAUGUUGGAUGGGAUUCUCAGGUGAGAAGCUAGUUUAUCAGUACUGUGAAAUACUUAGACUUUCACUGCCAGAAAAUUAAGAUUGUAAUCUCCUUGAGGACCAAGACCCUCUUCUUUCUUAAUUUCUCCCUACCUGCCUUCUGGGCAGGCCUGGGAUGGGGUUCCAAGCCUGACACUGAAAUGCGGAAACAGGGAAACCUUUUACAACACACAGUAUGCUCUUUUCUUCAACCCAUCAAAGUAUCCAGAAUUUGGCUGUGAUAAAUCUCCUUCAACUCCCUCUUUUUACAGGGGGGUGAUUGGGCCAAAAAGGUGGAGUAGCUUACCCAUGUUUCCAUGGUGAGCCUGAGGUAGUGCCAGAACGAGGACUCACUUCCCAUUGACCUCUGUCUACUUCAUGAGGCAGGUGUGUUUAAAUAGAACACUGGGUUUCUGAAGUUGCAUAAGAAAACAGUUGAAUCUGAAGAAAGACAGGCCUAAACCAAGGCAAUGUAGGGCAUUGGGAAGCAGGGCAAUUGUGGGAAUGGGAGACCCAAUCUUGCUUGGAAUCUGUGUGUCGCCAGCGAAUGUCUUUCAUCCCCAUUAUUAGUUAGCUGGUUAAUUAGCUGGUAUUGGUCUACAGCUGGUUAAUGGCCUUACAUAGAAUAUAAUUUUCAUCACUGGGCUCUCUGAAGGGUAUAUUUUUGGCUUACCAUUCUCUAUAGUCUGACUUUUCGACCCAGUGUUUCAGUGGAAAUUUUCCAGAGCAUUGACAUUUCAAAAUGCAAGAGCAAGAGGAAGAAUAGAAAUCACAGCCUUAAAACAAAUGAGACAGGAGCUACUAGUCCAUUCUAGUCCCCAUCCCAGCAUCCCGUUCUCCACCCCCUCAGAAAUACAUCAGCAUAUCUGGCAGAGCUGGGUUUCACAAAACAAGAUGCACAGCUUGAUGAAACAGGGAUGCUGAUGGAGGCAGUGAGAGGAGGCAGAGGUGGAGUGGAGAGCGAAGAGGGAGAAGGGGUGGUCUGGAUGCUAGCUGAAGAAGCCUUAAUGAUCCUAAAAAUUAUUGGGCAAUAAUUGCUACCUUGGAACUCACUUUGCUGUUCCAAAGAAUGAUAAAGCACCUUAAUUAUUGCUUUAUAUAACCACACAGCUCCAUCAAAACAGCAUGAAAUAGCACCCACGUAUGAGCAAACUUAUCUACUGCCAUU